GAUUCCAUUCCGUCCUAACACUAUUGGCGAAACAUCCAAUUAGAACAUCUAGCAAGUUCUUAUCAGAUUUGGAGUAGAAUUGACAAAUUGGAAGCAUAAAUAAAAAAUAUACUUAGAAGUAGUAAGGUAAUGAAUCAUAUUAAUAGGUAGGAAUACAAAGACCUAUGUUUUAUUUCCCCUUUCAUUAAGUAAAAAAGAAAGAAUCAAGAUAGAUUCCUUUGCAUACUCUUAUUUGCAUCUGUUAGUUCCCUUGGAUCUAAUCCUUAUUAUAUCCCGUCCCGAUUCGUUCUCUAAAACAAUUGGAAAACAGGCUAGUAAAUUCUUUUACUAUGGAUUACCCAAAAGAAAGAGUUUUCUUUUUCGUAGACUGGAAAUCGAAUAGAAUUUUUUUUUUUUAAAGACCUAUGUUUUAUUUCCCCUUUCAUUAAGUAAAAAAGAAAGAAUCAAGAUAGAUUCCUUUGCAUACUCUUAUUUGCAUCUGUUAGUUCCCUUGGAUCUAAUCCUUAUUGUAUCCCGUCCCGAUU
rnacentral:lncRNA from 1 species